GACAGAAACUCAGAGCACCCUGCACUUGGGGAUCGGCACUAGGAGCUGCUCUCUGGAUGGGGAGAUGGGAGCUAGCAGCUCACAAUGGGGUCACAAGAAUAUUGGUUCUUCUUUUAUCUGAAGUGAGGAGCACCAGAGGACUGAUCACGGCAUAGACAUUGACUACAAGACUCUGAACUUGCUGGUUGAUUGGGCCAUAUGCCCACAACAUUGCUGAGGAGAAGGAGAUGAUGAAAUCCACCCAACAGAGGACCACAGAGAAACUUACCAGCAGCAGUAUGGUCUGGAUGGCCCGUUUCUCAGGGGAAGCUCCUGGGGAAGGACCAUUGCUGUGAAGGUGGUGGGAUCACCUCUGAGGCCUGAAUAAGAGAGUCACCAUGUAUGCAAUUAAGAACAGCAGUAUUCCUACCAGGAAAGCAUCCCUAAGUGUUGUCAGAAUAAGAAACGUGGCCCUGAGGAUGAAGCUCAUGGAGAAAACUGAGCAGUACUUACCUAUAUUCAGUACAUUUGUCUGGCUCACACUGGAAGCAGCUACAGUGUAGAAGAUCCUGUUACUACUGAAAGACAAGUUGAGGAACCAUAAGAAGAAGAAAACAUGGAUAAUGUAAUUUGAAGAUUUAUGUUUAAACCUUGCCAAUCAGGAGGUGCUGGGGCUGAUGGUGGUGGCCUGGAACACACUCAGGGGGCAGGUGGUGCAGAUAGAGAGGCCCCACAACACCCUGCUCAGGUGGAAAAGUGCCUUACACUUGAAGUCAUUCUGAAGUUCAAUGAUGCAAACAGAUUUGGAGACUGCAAUAACAGUGCAAUGAAGAAGUUCACUAUGUGGACGAGGGGCAAGGGACAGAUGAUCAAGUCAGUGGGUUUUAGUCUGUGAUACAGAAGGAGAGUGAAGAUGCUGAAGAGGAACAGAAAAGUAUUGACUGAGAUUCCAACAGCAACUUGUAAAACAAAGCAGCUUUUUAAUAACAUACAUGAUAUAUAUGUACAUUGUAGUGGCAAAGAGGAAACAUAUUUGUAUAUCUGAAAAAACAAGUUUAGACAUCUUCAGUGCUGUUCUAUAGUUAAAAUUAUCACAACUAUGAUUAUGUUUAUUUCUCCCAAUUAUUAAGACUUACAAUGUAAUAUAAAUUAUUAG
rnacentral:lncRNA from 1 species